rnacentral:rRNA from 1 species
UACAGAGGCCUCGAGCGUUAGGCGGAAUCACUGGGCUUAAAGCGUGUGUAGGUGGAUGCCUAAGUACCUUGUGAAAUCCCAUGGCUUAACCAUGGAAUUGCUUGGUAUACUGGGUGUCUUGAGCCACUCAGGGGCGAGCGGAACAAACGGUGGAGCGGUGAAAUGCGUAGAGAUCGGAAAGAACACCAACGGCGAAAGCACUCUGCUGGGCCGACACUGACACUGAGAGACGAAAGCUAGGGGAGCGAAUGGG